AGUUGGUGGAGUGAUUUGUCUGGUUAAUUCCGUUAACGAACGAGACCUCAGCCUGCUUUUGUAGUUUCUAUUGUUUUAGGGCAGUUGUAAACUUCUUAGAGGGACUUUUGGUUUUUAGCCAAAGGAAGUUUGAGGCAAUAACAGGUCU
rnacentral:rRNA from 1 species